GGUGUGGCGGGUGGGGGUUGGAUCAGGGUGAGUUGGGCGUUGAUUGGAUUGACUUGAAGCAGGUGUUCACUGAGUGGACCGAGAUUUGCCUAUUCUGGACAUUUCAUAUAAAAGGAGUUACACAAUAUGUGGACUUGUGUGUCUGGCUUCUUGCAUUUAGCACAAGGUGUUCAAAGUUCAUCCAUCUUGUAACUAUGAGGAAACUGAGGUUCAAGAUACAUUAACUAUCUUGCUGAGGUCACAGAACAAACACACAGGAAAAAGGGCUUUCAUAAACGGAACUGAGAAUGCUUAUAAUGGGAGGUGAGACGCGAGAAGAAUUCUCUCUGGAAGGGAACUCGGGAUCAUUUCAAAGAUGAGUGGGAAAGAGCACCAGAGCAGUAAUGAGGAUCCUGAUGAGCUACAGAGAGAGCGGGAUGGAAAAGGCACCUUGGUUCCUAGGUGACGCUCGGGACCAAGGAGUUUAGAUUCCUAUUUUCUCUCUCCACUGCUUCAGCUGUUUCCAAGCCAGGACCUUCAAGUGAUUCCACAGCAGGUGCCAACUGAUAACCCUGAUCUCCAUUAUCCUUUGCUGGGCUCUCCCAGGCCAGGCCCAGCAUCGCAAGCACCGUGUACAUCUUCUCCCUCAAUCUCUCCCUCUGAACCAUGUCCCACCCUCAUCAGUACAUCAUUUUCUUUUGCAGCAAUUUAUGAAUUCUAGUUACUUGAAGUUUGUAAUGCUGACAACCUCAUGAGACAAAUUUUAUGAAGGAAUUCACAGACAUGGUUGUCUUCAGCAGCUAUCAGAACUCGACUUCCCUGAGGCACAUCAAAUAUUGAAUGAAUGGAUGGAUAGAAACACAAUGAAUGAAUAUCAAAGGAA